rnacentral:rRNA from 1 species
AUUGAACGCUGGCGGCAGGCCUAACACAUGCAAGUCGAGCGAGCGGCGGACGGGUGAGUAAUGUCUGGGAAUCUGCCUGAUGGAGGGGGAUAACUACUGGAAACGGUUGCUAAUACCGCAUACCAUCAGAUGUGCCCAGAUGGGAUUAGCUAGUUGGUGGGGUAAAGGCUCACCAAGGCGACGAUCCCUAGCUGGUCUGAGAGGAUGACCAGCCACACUGGAAAGGGUACACGGUCCAGACUCCUACGGGAGGCAGCAGUGGGGAAGAUUGCACAAUGGGCGCAAGCCUGAUGCAGCCAUGCCGCGUGUAUGAAGAAGGCCUUAGGGUUGUAAAGUACUUUCAGCGGGGAGGCGUUACCCACAGAAGAAGCACCGGCUAACUCCGUGCCAGCAGCCGCGGUAAUAC